CUCCAACGUAUCGUGACAGGCCUCGGUUUAGUAGAAUUAGAAACCGUAUUCCCCAAGUUAUGUUACGUUACGUGAUGUAAGUGAAGGUAAAGUAAUGCCAACACGCAGUGCGAUGACAAAACGGCGAUACGACGUAGACAAAAACGGUAUGUCGCAUCUCUUUCGAGAGGAGCAGCAGCGAACUAAAUUCAGUUGAAAGGCAGUUUUCCGAACUGAGCCGCUCCACUCGCGCUCACACGGACGCCGGCUCCACUGGUUGGGAAAUCCAGCGAGCGGAGAUAAUCUCCUGUGGCAUCGGGCACAUCUGCAAGUGACAAACGGGAAAACGUCAGCGCGAGGCACCUACCUCGUCGCUUGAAUGAGUAUCCGCUGGGUUUCAGCCAAUCCUCCACCGACUAUACAGAUAAAAAAACGCUUAAAUGUAUACGAAAGUACACAA